rnacentral:rRNA from 1 species
UACGUAGGGUGCAAGCGUUAUCCGGAAUUAUUGGGCGUAAAGCGUCCGUAGGCGGUUUCAAAAGUCUGUUGUUAAAGCCCACAGCUCAACUGUGGAUCGGCAAUGGAAACUGUGAGACUAGAGAGUGGUAGGGGUAGAGGGAAUUCCUAGUGUAGCGGUGAAAUGCGUAGAGAUUGGAAAGGACACCGAUGGCGAAGGCACUUUACUGGGCUAUUACUAACACUCAGAGACGAAAGCUAGGGUAGCAAAUGGG